rnacentral:rRNA from 1 species
UACGGAGGGUGCAAGCGUUAAUCGGAAUUACUGGGCGUAAAGGGUUCGUAGGUGGCCAACUAAGUCAGACGUGAAAUCCCUCAGCUUAACUGGGGAACUGCGUCUGAUACUGGUUGGCUUGAGUGCAGGAGAGGAACGCGGAAUUCCAGGUGUAGCGGUGAAAUGCGUAGAUAUCUGGAGGAACACCGGUGGCGAAGGCGGCGUUCUGGACUGCAACUGACACUGAGGAACGAAAGCCAGGGUAGCAAACGGG